AACUGAUCCUUUGGCAGAUGAAGAAAAUACCGGGUUAACCCACCCCAGGACGGUAGUAACUCCUGAUUAAAUACAGAAAAGAAGAUGUGGCCAAACCAUGACUCACGCUUCUGUCAAUGCAGAGCCCCAAAGGCAGAUGGACGAGAAGAAACGUUCAGAGUACCCAACCUGCCGAAGCAAGCACUGGAUUCAGCAUUUCCAUCAAGCUCCCAGGUGACACUGACACGGCAGAUCUGCUAGCUGUCCUUUAAACA